AUGGAGGGAAGAGUUUGCCCUAACCGCCUAGCAUAUGUGUACUUUCUUAAAGCCUCCGCGCUCAUGACAGCCGCCGUCGUCCUCUGUGCUGUGCUGGUCCUGUCGUCCAUGGGGCAGACCGCGAUGGGCGAUUGCGCCUCCGAGUGCGCCGCCGCGUGCUCCUGCACUGGUACGUGCCGGCCCUGCAUCCAGGAAGCGGCAUGCACCGGUAUCUGCAACCCCGCCUCCGUCCAGUUCUCAAACUGCUGGGGCUGCAAGGAGACCGCCAGGACAACGUGCGAAAACGAAUGCGUCACCGGCUGCUCAUUCCAAUAA
rnacentral:rRNA from 1 species